rnacentral:lncRNA from 1 species
UCCGCCCUUCUUGCAGUAAUUACAUUUGAUCGGGUUCUUCCCUUUAUACCAGCAGUCUUGUUCUAGGUGGUUAUUGCGAGCACAUAUUCUGCAGUUUGGUAAUCCCUUUUACUGCUUAUUGUUGUGCUUGUUUGAAUUUUGUGUUGAUCGUGUGACUUGAUCAUCUUGAUUUCUUCUUCCUCCUCUUCGUCUGCCUUGAUUCUU